rnacentral:rRNA from 1 species
UCUUUAAGAACCAUUAUAUAAAGUAAAACCUGCUCAAUGUUCUAUUACAAUCAAUAGCCGCAGUAAACCUGUGCUAAGGUAGCAUAAUCAUUUGCUCCUUAAUUAGGAGAUAGAAUGAAUGGUUCAACACUUAAAACAAGUAUCUUUAAAACAAAUAAACCUAAGAAAAAAGUAAAAACUCUUUUAAUAAAAAGUGGGACGACAAGACCCUGACAAACUAACACUUUUAGUUGGGGAAACACAAUAAUAACUCUUUAUUAAUUAAAACACACACCUUUAGAACAAAUCAAAGAAAAGUUACUGCAGGGAUAACAGCGCAAUUCUUUCCUAGAGACCUUAUCCAAGAAAGAGAUUACGACCUCGAUGUUGAAUUAAGCCCUCCUUAAAAGCGCAACAACCUUUAUGGAUAGUCUGUUCGACUAUUAAAACC